ACAGACAGACAGACAGACAGACAGACAGAGAGAGAGAGAGAGAGAGAGAGAGAGAGAGAGAGAGAGAGAGAGAGAGAAUGGAGGAAAAGAAAGAAAGACAGAAGGAAAGAAAGUAGAAGGUCGAGAGGUAAGUCUGGAUCGCUGUGUCUUGGUUUGGUAUGAGAGGCUUCCAGGUAGUCUUGUCUGUCUCUGGUUAUGACGAAGUACUGAGCUAAGGAUAUUUUUUGAGGGCUGAACAACUUUGAUAGAGAGGCUGUUGGCUUGGGAAGGUCUUGAUUUGCUGUCAGAGGUCUUGAGGUGGUCUUGAUAUCUCUGGUUGUGGGUGUUUCAAGGUGUUGGUGUUGAGCUAAGGAUGUUUUUUAAGGGCUGAGCAACUUCAAUUGAGAGGGUAUUGGUUUAGGAAGGUCUUCAGGUCAGUGUUGCCAGAUCCUCCCGCUCAGCCUCCUCCAUUUACCAAUAUCCGACCCCAAAACUGCCUUUCUGCACCCCGACAACGAGAUUAAUUUGUAUGUAUCGUUAAAGUGGUUAUUGAGUGAUGUUUUUUGGUUACAGUUAUGGGUCAGAAAAUGGUAAAUAAGAGUCUCUGAGAAGGACAAUCUGGCAUCGUUGCUUCAGGUAGUCUCGAUAUCUGUGGCUACGGCAAGGUGUUGGUUAUACACUAAGGAGGUUUUACAGCAGAGAGCUAAACAACUUUGAUUUAGAGACUGUCUUGGUUUGCUGUCAGAGGCCUGGAGGUGGUCUUGAUAUCUCUGGCUAUAGCAAGGUCUCAAGGAUUAGCUAUUUCUCUUGCUGUAAAAUAAAGAGAAAAGAAAAAGAAGAGUUUGUGUUGCACUGAGGAGGUGUUACGCUGGAUGGCUGAACACCUUUGAUUCAGAGGCUGUUUGUAAGGUCUUGUGUUGCCAUCAGAGGCCUUGAGGUGGUCUUGAUGUCUGUCUCUCUCUGUUUCAAGGUGUUGGUAUUAAGCAAGGGAUGUUUUUUGAGGGCUGAACAACUUUGAUUUAGAGGCUGUUGUCUUGGGAAGGUCUUGGUGUGUUGGGUAAGGAGCUAAACACCUUUGAUGGGAGGUUGUCGGGAAGAUGAAGAAGCAAAGCAGGAUAUAUGACAAUAGAGAGAAGGGAAGUAGGAUUGUUGAGGUGCCAGCAGCAGAGAAUACGGCACUGGAUGAUCUUGGUGCCAAAGCCUUGCAGUAGAGGUGAACGAGGUGCCUGGAACGGAGAAUGUGGUUGAGUGUAGUGAUUGGUUUCGUAGUAGAGGAUUUUAGGUGCCAG